ensembl:lncRNA
GCGCGAGUCUUGCCUUAUUUCCCCCCUUCUUUUCGCACGACGGGUGUCUCCUGCCUCGCGCGGCCCUUGGAGGGGGGGGGGGCUUGCUGGGGAUGACCUGUGUCCCUGAAAGGCCUUCCCGCACGGUCUCCCGCGAGGAAGGAAAUAAGGGCUUCAGCGUUUCUCCUCCACCCACGGCAGAGUGAGAAGGGAAAUUGUAACAUGCUAAAAAUACUGCUUUGCAGUUUUCAGAGAGGGAUUGCAGCCUUAGCAAAAUCCUUCCUGGAGGGAUACUCUUUUGCUCCAUCCUCUUCCAUCUGCCUUUCAGUUUCCUUCCUGUAGCUGCUGCUCCUAUCAAAGAGCGGGAAAGGGCAUAACAAGCUUCACUUGGGGUGGAGACAGCUGUAUUGGGAGAAAAAUGAAGAAGAAUUGGCAUGAAGAUUGCUCCUUUUCUCUCUCCAAACAUACACUUACUGGGAUGUUAUAAGGUGUGUUACCAUCUCUUCAUGGAUGCCCAGCUGAUGCUGCACAACUCUCCUGAUAACAUGGAUCCUCACUUCGCUGAUAUUCUUUUGGAGAAAACAAAUUCCACGUUUCUUACUGGCAUGAGAAGCAGAACAGCUAGGCACUGGGGCAGGUUUGCACCUUCCAUCCCAUAGCAGGCAGAGUGCCUGGGUUCCUCUGCAGUCACGUUCCAGAGCUGAGGUGUCCAUCCCUUACUCCAAAGAGGGAGAUGGGGCUGGUUAUGACUUGCUUGCUACUUUCCCAAGCUUUUCCUAGGUAAAAUUUUGCAUUUGCCCUCAAACCGCUUCUAAAUAGGAGGAAAAAUAUUUUGGAACUUCUCUGGAAAUUGCAGGUUUUGCAGCCUUCUUUCUGGGUGAGAUCUAAGGGCAUGAAUAAAUGGAAAAAAACUGAUGUAUCCUUGCCA